GCCAGCCAGUCCCCAGGCCCCAGGGCCAGCACACAUUUGCGGGGCCGCUUUAAAUGGCAGAGUCAAUGUCAAAUCCACAGAGAAGUCAUAACGUGGGACCAGAAUGAAAAAUGGGGGUUGAAAAUUCAGAGCCAUGCCUUUAGUUCAUCCUUUGACCUGAGCAGUUAACAUUCAUUUCUUUCCUAAGUAGGUGAUUUGAAUGCAGCGCGUUGGAAGACUUUGUUUUCAGUCUCUGUGGUUCCUUUCACACAGGUUUUUUGUUUGUUUGUUUUCUUUUUCCUUUUUUUUUUUCUCCCCACUAAGGGCUUCAAGAGGCACGGCUUUGAGAAAACAGUCCUCUCUCUGGGACUCAUCUCAGCCGAAGUCAUCAGGAAUGGCCUCCGGGACGGGACGGCAGCAGGAAUUCAGUGGAGGCGCUCUCUGCUGUGGAUCUGGUUCUUUUCCAUCACGGCACUGACCUUGAAUGGCUGGCCACCUGUGACCCCCCAUCUCCUGCUCUGAAUCCCGCCUUCACCCCACGGGAGCCGGCAGAGCGUCUGCACCUGCCAGCUACUCAGCGCACCUUUGGAAGUCAGCUGGAAUUUGGGGUCACUCUUCAGGAUCAUGGAUCAACCACGGAGCCGGUUAUUGCUGCUGUGAGAACAGCUGCUGCUGCUGCUGUGUCCCUAGAGUGAGUUUCGUGUAACUCUGCAACAUUGAUGCGCUGAGGAAGACAAGGAAAGGUCCUGAAGAGACUCAGAGCUGGCGCAAGCUGUGUGUGUGUGUGUGUGUGUGUGUGAGCGUGUGUGAGGAGGAGGCACAUCUUGAACCAUGUCCUAGAGGUCAGCCUACCUGCAAGUGACAGUGAGGACCACGCGAGGCACGCUUUGCACUGAAAAAGGUACCCCCCCACCCCCCUUCCCCAUUUUGUCUGGUGCUUCCUCCGAAGGAUGAGUGGUGACCAAAAGGGCAGUGGGGGGCUCUUGAGGAGCCUUGCCAUCUGGCAGUGCUGGAAAUGGAGUGUAUGAAAUGGUUUCUGCCGAGAGUUCCUCGGGGAUGUGGGCACCCCAACCACACCCUCAGGGCAUCGCCAGCCCCGGGGUGCUUCUGAGCCACUCUAUUCCCAAAUGGUGCGAUUAUAUCUCAGACUGUUCAUAACCCUCCAGGGUUUUUUUUUUCUUUCUCUCUCUCUUUAUUCUUUUUUCCCCUGGUACAAAUAAAUUAUUUAAUGCAAUGGCUUUGAUCAUUAGCCGCUGCCAGUGUGCAGGGGCCACCUUGGCUGUUCUGGGGAAGCCCCAGCCCUUCUCAGUCGGCUGUGCAGCCCCGCCCUUCAGCAGGGACGUUUCAUUUUUUACCAUCAUGCAUCCUGCUGAGGACAGUAGGUCCCUGGGAGCCGCUCAGAACCCAGAGCUCUGCAGGCUGCGUGGAAUUCCCACAGGAAGCCCUUCCUCUGAGAACGUGGCUCUGGUCUAGGCGGAGCAGACACACCAGAGCCUCUGAGAUGCCCCGUCAAGGGGGGGCGCUGCCCGGGGAAGGGGGGCUGCUCCUGCCCGCCUGGGAAUCUCUGAAACUAUACUUACACUGUCGGGUGAAAGGAAUUCGGGGGUCACUUGGGAUCUGUACACAUUAGUAUUUAUGUCAUAUUAAUGAGGUGCUAAUUGCUCUUGCAAUCUUUAUCAUGCAAAUGGAUCCAGUCCUAUUUGCUUGGUCCUGUACCCAGCGUAAUACCUGCUAGCCUUUCCAUUACGGUCAAAGCAAUUAUCAGCAAGCCUGGUCACAGGUAACGUCUUUCACAUCAGCUCACCACAGCAUACCAAGCGUCUUUUGGGGGGAGUAAGAUGGUCCUGACACUGUGAGAGUCUUUUUAAAGCCGUCCUCUCUCUCGAGGAGGCGGGGCACUGCAAAGGAUGCUGCAGGGACAUCCACGCGGAGGAUGUGCAAGGAGGGAUGAGCCAGCCGGCCCUGCGCCAGCACCCCUGGUGGUCCCAGGAGGCUGGGAGCUCGCUAAGGCCAUCGGAGCGUCUUCUCGAGGCUUUCUGUGUGGAUGGAGUGCCCAGGGAGUGGCCACACUGGGGCCUGAGGCGAAAGUAAGAAUAGAUGCUGGCACAUACUUAGUGAAACUUCCUGCCAUGUUCUGAAUCAUGCAGAAAAAGUAAAUAGAAGCUUGCCAUAAAAAAACCGUGACCUCAUAGAGUCCCCAUUGCCCCAUCUGUUUGCACCUCACUGCCAACCCUCUGGGAGCUGACCGAGGGGCACGCAGGCCAUUGUAGAGGGGGAUGGGGGCAUGGGAACCGAGGCAGCUCAGAAAUCACGCUCUUUCAGAAACCGUAGACGCUAGCAAACCAACCGUCUGUCUUUAUGUACAGUUUUUGAUAUUUUGUUCAUUAUAGAUUUUUCCAUUAACUUUUAUUUUUCUGUUUAUUUAUUUAUUUUUUUGUCUUUUUGCCAUUUCUUGGGCUGUUCCUGCAGCACAUGGAGGUUCCCAGGCUAGGGGUUGAAUCGGAGCUGUAGCCCCCACCGGCCUAUGCCAGAGUCACAGCAACGGGGGACCCGAGCCGCGUUUGCAACCUACACCACAGCUCAUGGCAACGCCAGAUCCUUAACCCACUGAGCAAGGCCAGGGAUUGAACCUGCAACCUCAUGGUUCCUAGUCAGAUUCGUUAACCACUGCACUACAAC
rnacentral:lncRNA from 9 species